CGUGUGAGUAUGAGCACGAUGAGUAGUCAGAAGCAAUCAAGAUAAAAAAGAAGGGAAGGGAAAUAAGAAGAAGAGAGAUUUACACGUAUGGAAGGAAAGAUUCUUACCUACCCUAGUUCUUGCAAGUGUGUAUGUGUCAUAUCAUGAAUUUGAAUUUGGAUUGUAGUAAUUUCAAUUUUUAAGUUUUUUUCUUUUUUAAGUUUCUGUAUUCAAUCGAUUCGAGUUUGAUUUUUGGUGAAAACAUUAUUAUUUCUCGACAUGAAUUCUGAAUUACUAAUAUUUCUUUUUCUUAUAAAUUGGAUUAUCA
rnacentral:lncRNA from 1 species